AUGGAGUCUCGUUUAGGGUCGCAUAAUAAAUCUGUAGGUGAGUUGAGCUUGAACCCAUUUCUCAAUAUUUUGGCACUGUUUUCCAACCUUUGUGCUUCCGAACAUCAUGUGGUCAUUUUUAAAAACUUGUUUCAUCUAGCAGUUUCUCUCUCCUCUCAGGUAUUUGUCUGGGGAUGGCUGUGCAUACAGAACACCAUUAGCUCCAUGAAGAACAUGACAGAGGUACCUGGUCCUACCUGGAUUCUUGGGCAUGCGGGAAGCAGCAGCAGUAGCCACAGUGAACUUCAUCCUAAGGAACUGUUAUGCAGACGUUGCAUGAGUCUCUUGUGGGGGUGCCAGCAGCAAAACCAAGCCUUUGUGCCUAUCUGUGGUUGUGACCCGUUGGAGAGACAUUGGGAGAUGAGAUACUGUGCUCACUCCUCACGGCUGAACCAAGGACCUGAGAUAUUCCAUUGCUAUCCUGUGAGUAAGUAAAUUUAAUACGUAGAAAGAACUGAGAACCAUAUUUUCUAAAAAGCACAAAGAGCAUGAUAUAGUCAUCAGGACUUUGUCAGGUUAUAGAGAAAUCAAACUGUUUUAUCUUACACCAAAGAGGGACACUGACUGCCUUGCUUAACCAAGCUAUGGAAGGCUGGGCUGGUUUUAGAUGUAAAUGGAUCUAGAGCUUUGGCCCAGUCUGACACUCACUGUGAGAGUCUUACCCUGUUUCUCUGACUGGCCUUGACUUCAGACCCAGAGCCAUCCCUGGACUCAUCGCUGUGGCCAAGGGAAAUGGCGGGACUACUGGUUCAGAUAGUGCCCACUCAAGUGGUCAGGAAGCGGGCAGGAGUGCUAUGACCAUCUCUCAUCACGGUGAGAUGGGAGAGUGGAGGAGGAGCCAUUUGCCCCAGAAAGGAGUAACUAUUCUGGACAGAAUGUAUAUGGCAAAGCCAUGGUUCUUCUACCCCUUUGCAGAAAUGUAAACCUGAAUGUGGACAGGCAGAACAGUGAGUGUCAGGAAAUAGGCUUCAGUUUGAGAAAAUCUGUGGUUUAUUAGAAGCUGACAUCAGGUGAGUGCUGAUGCUUAAACCUCAAUAGCAAAUUUUGGGAACCCAGAGAAAGUAAGGUCAAAUCAGUAGAAUUCUGCUUUCCUGAGAGACACAGGGACUAAUCCAAUGAGUGAUGUUGAUAUAUUAGGAUUUUGGAGAUUCCCACCAGUGGUUAUCCGGUGCCAGGGUAUGAGAAGAUAGUCUCUGUGUCCAAACUCAAAAUUUCAGAACAAAUUUCAUCAAGAUAAAGGUAAAAACCAUGACCUGGGAAUUUUGUCAGUCAGAUCACUAUAUUACAGAAUUAAUUUAUUGCAUACCCAUGUCUUACAACAAAAGACAAAUACGCCAAGGACACUUGGUUAUGAAAAUCACCCCUCCCCCAUGAACUGGUGGCCUGUGAAAGAGGAGCCCAAUGAAGAAUUGGCAUACUUCUAUUUUUAUGUUUC
rnacentral:lncRNA from 13 species